GGCAGGUCUGAUGAUAGAGGGUCAUGAGAACUUAUUAACAUUAGUGUCACAAAAGUUGAUAUACAACCUCCUACAGCUAAAUUUGACUGGCUUUAA
ensembl:misc_RNA Y_RNA Y RNA